GCCAGACUCCUACGGGAGGCAGCAGUGGGGAAUAUUGCACAAUGGGCGCAAGCCUGAUGCAGCCAUGCCGCGUGUAUGAAGAAGGCCUUCGGGUUGUAAAGUACUUUCAGCGGGGAGGAAGGUGUUGAGGUUAAUAACCUCAGCAAUUGACGUUACCCGCAGAAGAAGCACCGGCUAACUCCGUGCCAGCAGCCGCGGUAAUACGGAGGGUGCAAGCGUUAAUCGGAAUUACUGGGCGUAAAGCGCACGCAGGCGGUCUGUCAAGUCGGAGGGGAAAUCCCCGGGCUCAACCGGGGAACUGCCUUCGAAACUGGGAGGCUGGAGUGUUGUAGAGGGGGGUAGAAUUCCAGGUGUAGCGGUGAAAUGCGUAGAGAUCUGGAGGAAAACCGGUGGCGAAGGCGGCCCCCUGGACAAAGACUGACGCUCAGGUGCGAAAGCGUGGGGAGCAAACAGGAUUAGAUACCCGCGUAUA
rnacentral:rRNA from 1 species